UGCGUAGGCGGGCUAAUAAGUCAGUGGUGAAAUCUCUCGGCUCAACCGGGAAACUGCCAUUGAUACUGUUAGUCUUGAGUUCGGUUGAGGUAGGCGGAAUGUGUAAUGUAGCGGUGAAAUGCUUAGAUAUUACACAGAACACUAAUUGCGUAGGCAGCUUACUAGACCGACACUGACGCUGAGGCACGAAAGCGUGGGGAGCGAACAGGAUUAGAUACCCUGGUAGUCC
rnacentral:rRNA from 1 species